rnacentral:tRNA from 1 species
GGUCCAGGAUGGAGGAAUAAAUUUUGGAAUAGGAACUUCUUCUCCUGCCUUCUAAGCAGAGGGUCUCAGGUUCGAAUCCUGACGGGAUCA